GUCGAGGAGGAUAAACGCGAUGGAAGAAGAACACAAUCGACGAGUUCAAGUUGGGGAUAAGGAACCAUCGACGAUAUGACAAGGAAGUGAUAAAACAGGGAUACCUAUAUCUGAGUCUUUGGAAGAUUGGGGAAAAGAAAUGUUUUUGACAGUGACAAUAUCUGGCUCAAUUUGCUCUGAUACCAGAGUAAUUAAUUAGCGAAUCAAGUCGCUCUCUGAAGGGAUAUCUGAGUCAUUGUUUUCAUAGUUUGUUAAACGAAUCUCUCUUGGAAAUGAAAUGAAGAAAUUGUGAAAAAAGACAGGGAUAAUAAAUGAAGACGGGCAGAUGAUUUUUUAGGGUUUAUUAGGUUUUUUUAAUUAUUGUUUUAGGAGUUUUGUUUUAUGCUUUUGGGCCUCGGCCUUUUUCCCUUUUAUUUGUUUUAUU
rnacentral:lncRNA from 1 species